rnacentral:rRNA from 1 species
AUACGUAGGGGGCGAGCGUUGUCCGGAUUUAUUGGGCGUAAAGAGCGCGUAGGCGGCUCUUCAAGUCGUGCGUGAAAUACUCCGGCUCAACUGGAGUGAGCCGUGCGAUACUGGGGGGCUUGAGGUCGGAAGGGGAAAGUGGAAUUCCCGGUGUAGUGGUGGAAUGCGUAGAUAUCGGGAGGAACACCAGUGGCGAAGGCGGCUUUCUGGACCGAUCCUGACGCUGAGGCGCGAAAGCGUGGGAAGCAAACUGGAUUAGAUACCCAGGUAGUCCACGCUGUAAACGAUGGGUGCUAGGUGUCGGGGGUAUCGACCCCCCCGGUGCCGCAGCUAACGCAUUAAGCACCCCGCCUGGGGAGUACGGCCGCAAGGCUAAA